rnacentral:rRNA from 1 species
AAUCUUGCGCAAUGGGCGAAAGCCUGACGCAGCCAUGCCGCGUGAAGGAUGAAGGUCUUAGGAUGGUAAAAUUCUUUCACCGGGGACGAUAAUGACGGUACCCGGAGAAGAAGCCCCGGCUAACUGCGGUCUAGCAGCCGCGGUAAUACGAAGGGGGCUAGCGUUGCUCGGAGUUACUGGGCGUAAAGGGCGCGUAGGCGGAUCGUUUAGUCAGGGGUGAGAUCCCGGGGCUCAACCCCGUAAUUGCCUUUGAUACUGGCGAUCUUGAGUGUGAUAGAGGUAUGUGGAACUCCGAGUGUAGAGGUGAAAUUCGUAGAUAUUCGGAAGAACACCAGUGGCGAAGGCGACAUACUGGCUCAUUACUGACGCUGAGGCGCGAAAGCGUGGGGAGCAAACA